AUUGAACGCUGGCGGCAUGCCUUACACAUGCAAGUCGAACGGCAGCACGGGUGCUUGCACCUGGUGGCGAGUGGCGAACGGGUGCGUAAUACAUCGGAACAUGUCCUGUAGUGGGGGAUAGCCCGGCGAAAGCCGGAUUAAUACCGCAUACGAUCUACGGAUGAAAGCGGGGGACCUUCGUGCUUCGCGCUAUAGGGUUGGCCGAUGGCGGAUUAGCUAGUUGGUGGGGUAAAGGCCUACCAAGGCGACGAUCAGUAGCUGGUCUGAGAGGACGACCAGCCACACUGGGACUGAGACACGGCCCAGACUCCUACGGGAGGCAGCAGUGGGGAAUUUUGGACAAAGGGCGAAAGCCUGAUCCAGCAAUGCCGCGUGUGUGAAGAAGGCCUUCGGGUUGUAAAGCACUUUUGUCCGGAAAGAAAACCUUGGCCCUAAUACGGUCGGGGGAUGACGGUACCGGAAGAAUAAGCACCGGCUAACUACGUG
rnacentral:rRNA from 1 species